rnacentral:rRNA from 1 species
UACGAAGGGGGCUAGCGUUGCUCGGAAUCACUGGGCGUAAGGGUGCGUAGGCGGGUUUUAAGUCAGAGGUGAAAUCCUGGAGCUCAACUCCAGAACUGCCUUUGAUACUGAAAGUCUUGAGUAUGGGAGAGGUGAGUGGAACUGCGAGUGUAGAGGUGAAAUUCGUAGAUAUUCGCAAGAACACCAGUGGCGAAGGCGGCUCACUGGCCCAUAACUGACGCUGAGGCACGAAAGCGUGGGGAGCAAACGGG